rnacentral:rRNA from 1 species
GACGAACGCUGGCGGCGUGCUUAACACAUGCAAGUCGAACGGAAAGGCCUAGCUUGCUGGGUACUCGAGUGGCGAACGGGUGAGUAACACGUGGGUGAUCUGCCCCUGACUUUGGGAUAAGCCUGGGAAACUGGGUCUAAUACCGGAUAUUCAUUUUUCCUCGCAUGGGGAUUUGUGGAAAGCUUUUGCGGUUGGGGAUGGGCCCGCGGCCUAUCAGCUUGUAGGUGGGGUAAUGGCCUACCAAGGCGACGACGGGUAGCCGACCUGAGAGGGUGAUCGGCCACACUGGGACUGAGACACGGCCCAGACUCCUACGGGAGGCAGCAGUGGGGAAUAUUGCACAAUGGGCGCAAGCCUGAUGCAGCGACGCCGCGUGAGGGAUGACGGCCUUCGGGUUGUAAACCUCUUUCAGCUCCGACGAAGCGCAAGUGACGGUAGGAGCAGAAGAAGCACCGGCCAACUACGUG